UACGUAGGGGGCAAGCGUUGUCCGGAAUCAUUGGGCGUAAAGAGCGCGCAGGCGGUCAGAUAAGUCGAAUGUGAAAGCCCCCGGCUCAACUGGGGAGGGUCAUUCGAUACUGUUCGACUCGAAGGCAGGAGAGGGAAGUGGAAUUCCCGGUGUAGUGGUGAAAUGCGUAGAUAUCGGGAGGAACACCAGUGGCGAAGGCGACUUCCUGGCCUGUUCUUGACGCUGAGGCGCGAAAGCUAGGGGAGCAAACGGG
rnacentral:rRNA from 1 species